rnacentral:rRNA from 1 species
AAACCAACAGGGAUUGCCCCAGUAGCGGCGAGUGAAGCGGCAAGAGCUCAGAUUUGAAAUCGUGUUUCGGCACGAGUUGUAGAGUGUAGGCGGGAGUCUCUGUGGAGCGCGGUGUCCAAGUCCCUUGGAACAGGGUGCCUGAGAGGGUGAGAGCCCCGUAGGGUGCUGCGCGAAGCUUUUGAGGCCCUGCUGACGAGUCGAGUUGUUUGGGAAUGCAGCUCCAAGCGGGUGGUAAAUUCCAUCUAAGGCUAAAUAUUGGCGAGAGACCGAUAGCGAACAAGUACUGUGAAGGAAAGAUGAAAAGCACUUUGAAAAGAGAGUGAAACAGCACGUGAAAUUGUUGAAAGGGAAGGGUAUUGGGCUCGACAUGGGGGGUGCGCACCGCUGUCUCUUGUAGGCGGCGCUCUGGGCGCCCUCUGGGCCAGCAUCGGUUCCUGCUGCGGGAGAAGGGGCUCCGGAAAGUGGCUCUUCGGAGUGUUAUAGCCGGGGCCAGAUGCCGCGUGUGGGGACCGAGGACUGCGGCUUCUGUCUCGGAUGCUGGCAUAACGGCGCAAUACCGCCCGUCUU